GGAGUAAUAGCCUACCAAGGCUUCGAUCAGUAGCUGGUCUGAGAGGACGACCAGCCACACUGGAACUGAGACACGGUCCAGACUCCUACGGGAGGCAGCAGUGGGGAAUUUUGGACAAUGGGCGCAAGCCUGAUCCAGCCAUUCCGCGUGAGUGAAGAAGGCCUUCGGGUUGUAAAGCUCUUUCGCAAGGGAAGAAAACUUACUUUCUAAUAAAGAGUGAGGCUGACGGUACCUUGAUAAGAAGCACCGGCUAACUACGUGCCAGCAGCCGCGGUAAUACGUAGGGUGCGAGCGUUAAUCGGAAUUACUGGGCGUAAAGCGUGCGCAGGCGGUUUGGCAAGUCAGAUGUGAAAUCCCCGAGCUCAACUUGGGAACUGCGUUUGAAACUGCCAGACUAGAAUAUGUCAGAGGGGGGUAGAAUUCCACGUGUAGCAGUGAAAUGCGUAGAGAUGUGGAGGAAUACCAAUGGCGAAGGCAGCCCCCUGGGAUAAUAUUGACGCUCA
rnacentral:rRNA from 1 species